AACGAACGCUGGCGGCAUGCCUAACACAUGCAAGUCGAACGGGACCUUCGGGUCUAGUGGCGCACGGGUGCGUAACGCGUGGGAACCUGCCCUUAGGUUCGGAAUAACUCCCCGAAAGGGGUGCUAAUACCGGAGAAUGUCUUCGGACCAAAGAUUUAUCGCCUUUGGAUGGGCCCGGGUUGGAUUAGCUAGUUGGUAGGGUAAAAGCCUACCAAGGGGACGAUCCUUAGCUGGUCUGAGAGGAUGAUCGGCCACACUGGGACUGAGACACGGCCGAGACUCCUACGGGAGGCAGCAGUGGGGAAUAUUGCACAAUGGGCGAAAGCCUGAUGCAGCCAUGCCGGGUGAGUGAUGAAGGCCUUAGGGUUGUAAAGCUCUUUUACCCGGGAUGAUAAUGACAGUACCGGGAGAAUAAGCGCCGGCUAACUCCGUG
rnacentral:rRNA from 1 species